GCGAGUCUUUGUAGUAAUACAAGGCAGACGGCUUAGUAACACGUAGUCAACCUACCCUAUGGACGAGAAUAAUCUCGGGAAACUGAGCAUAAUUCUUGAUAGAUCAUAAUGCCUGGGAUGGUUUAUGGUUAAAAUGAUUCGUCGCCAUAGGAUGGGACUGCGGCCUAUCAGCUUGUUGGUGAGGUAAUGGCCCACCAAGGCGAUUACAGGUACGGGCUCUGAGAGGAGAAGCCCGGAGAUGGGUACUGAGACACGGACCCAGGCCCUAUGGGGCGCAGCAGGCGAGAAAACUUUGCAAUGUGCGAAAGCCCGACAAGGUUAAUCCGAGUGAUUUCUGCUAAAGAAAUCUUUUACCAGUCGUAAAACCGCUGGUGAAUAAGGGGUGGGCAAGUUCUGGUGUCAGCCGCCGCGGUAAAACCAGCACCUCAAGUGGUCAGGAUGAUUAUUGGGCCUAAAGCAUCCGUAGCCUGCUUUGUAAGUUUUCGGUUAAAUCCAUGUGCUCAACGCAUGGGCUGCCGAAAAUACUGCAUAGCUAGGGAGUGGGAGAGGUAGACGGUACUCAGUAGGUAGGGGUAAAAUCCUUUGAUCUAUUGAUGACCACCUGUGGCGAAGGCGGUCUACCAGAACACGUUCGACGGUGAGGGA
rnacentral:rRNA from 1 species